CGUGCGAGGGCGCGUUCUCGUGCAGGGCGCGUUCUUUGGCGCGGCGCGUAGGGGUAGCUAUCCUGGGUCCUCUUUCCCAGCACGUAGGCUGCGCACUGAGUCGUGCGUUCAGACAUUCGUUUUUGCGACACUGCCAGGGAGGCGGUCCUGCUGUCUUAGUGCGUUUGUUUACAUUCUCAUCAACACAACCGGGAAUGUGAUGGAGAUCUGAACAAGUGUUAUGAGGCCUGCGCUGUGGAUGACGGAAUGAUAGGCUCAGACUGUCACCAUCUGAUGAGCCCUAAGGUAUUACAGGAUCUACGUAUGGAAUACCAACACCUGUUGCCACAAGAGAAUCAACCAGACACAAAGAGCCCCCUGCUGGAAGACUGCACCACUGCCCAGGAAGUACUUCUGCAAAGUACUUUUAGCUGCAGGACCAGUGGUUUGCUGUUCACAAAAGGCUGUCGUGGGACAUAU